GACGAACGCUGGCGGCGUGCUUAACACAUGCAAGUCGAACGGGUCUGCCCUGUUUUUUGCGGGGUGGGUCAGUGGCGAACGGGUGAGUAACACGUGAGUAACCUGCCCCUCACUUCUGGAUAACCGCUUGAAAGGGUGGCUAAUACGGGGUGUUCUGGCUGUGCCGCAUGGUGUGGCUGGGAAAGAUUCACUUUUGUGGUGUUUUGGUGGGGGAUGGGCUCGCGGCCUAUCAGCUUGUUGGUGGGGUGAUGGCCUGCCGAGGCUUUGACGGGUCGCCGGCCUGAGAGGGUGGGCGGUCACACUGGGACUGAGAUACGGCCCAGACUCCUGCGGGAGGCAGCAGUGGGGGGUAUUGCACAAUGGGCGGAAGCCUGAUGCAGCGACGUCGCGUGAGGGAUGGAGGCCUUCGGGUUGUGAACCUCUUUCGCCGGUGAAGAAGGUCCUGCUCUUUGGGGUGGGGUUGACGGUAGCCGGGUUAUGAAGCGCCGGCUAACUACGUG
rnacentral:rRNA from 1 species